rnacentral:rRNA from 1 species
UUAAGCGACUAAGCGUACACGGUGGAUGCCCUGGCAGUCAGAGGCGAUGAAGGACGUGCUAAUCUGCGAAAAGCGUCGGUAAGGUGAUAUGAACCGUUAUAACCGGCGAUGUCCGAAUGGGGAAACCCAGUGUGAUUCGUCACACUAUCGUUAACUGAAUACAUAGGUUAACGAGGCGAACCGGGGGAACUGAAACAUCUAAGUACCCCGAGGAAAAGAAAUCAACCGAGAUUCCCCCAGUAGCGGCGAGCGAACGGGGAGCAGCCCAGAGUCUGAAUCAGCUUGUGUGUUAGUGGAACGGUCUGGAAAGUCCGACGGUACAGGGUGAUAGUCCCGUACACCAAAAUGCACAGGCUGUGAACUCGAAGAGUAGGGCGGGACACGUGGUAUCCUGUCUGAAUAUGGGGGGACCAUCCUCCAAGGCUAAAUACUCCUGACUGACCGAUAGUGAACCAGUACCGUGAGGGAAAGGCGAAAAGAACCCCGGCGAGGGGAGUGAAAAAGAACCUGAAACCGUGUACGUACAAGCAGUGGGAGCACCUUCGGGUGUGACUGCGUACCUUUUGUAUAAUGGGUCAGCGACUUAUAUUCUGUAGCAAGGUUAACCGUAUAGGGGAGCCGCAGGGAAACCGAGUCUUAACUGGGCGUUAAGUUGCAGGGUAUAGACCCGAAACCCGGUGAUCUAGCCAUGGGCAGGUUGAAGGUUGGGUAACACUAACUGGAGGACCGAACCGACUAAUGUUGAAAAAUUAGCGGAUGACUUGUGGCUGGGGGUGAAAGGCCAAUCAAACCGGGAGAUAGCUGGUUCUCCCCGAAAGCUAUUUAGGUAGCGCCUCGUGAACUCAUCUUCGGGGGUAGAGCACUGUUUCGGCUAGGGGGUCAUCCCGACUUACCAACCCGAUGCAAACUACGAAUACCGAAGAAUGUUAUCACGGGAGACACACGGCGGGUGCUAACGUCCGUCGUGAAGAGGGAAACAACCCAGACCGCCAGCUAAGGUCCCAAAGUCAUGGUUAAGUGGGAAACGAUGUGGGAAGGCACAGACAGCCAGGAUGUUGGCUUAGAAGCAGCCAUCAUUUAAAGAAAGCGUAAUAGCUCACUGGUCGAGUCGGCCUGCGCGGAAGAUGUAACGGGGCUAAACCAUGCACCGAAGCUGCGGCAGCGACACUAUGUGUUGUUGGGUAGGGGAGCGUUCUGUAAGCCUGCGAAGGUGACCUGUGAGGGUUGCUGGAGGUAUCAGAAGUGCGAAUGCUGACAUAAGUAACGAUAAAGCGGGUGAAAAGCCCGCUCGCCGGAAGACCAAGGGUUCCUGUCCAACGUUAAUCGGGGCAGGGUGAGUCGACCCCUAAGGCGAGGCCGAAAGGCGUAGUCGAUGGGAAACAGGUUAAUAUUCCUGUACUUGGUGUUACUGCGAAGGGGGGACGGAGAAGGCUAUGUUAGCCGGGCGACGGUUGUCCCGGUUUAAGCAUGUAGGCUGGUUAUCCAGGCAAAUCCGGAUAAUCAAGGCUGAGGUGUGAUGACGAGGCACUACGGUGCUGAAGUAACAAAUGCCCUGCUUCCAGGAAAAGCCUCUAAGCAUCAGGUAACAUCAAAUCGUACCCCAAACCGACACAGGUGGUCAGGUAGAGAAUACCAAGGCGCUUGAGAGAACUCGGGUGAAGGAACUAGGCAAAAUGGUGCCGUAACUUCGGGAGAAGGCACGCUGGUGUGUAGGUGAAGCCCCUGCGGGUGGAGCUGAGACCAGUCGAAGAUACCAGCUGGCUGCAACUGUUUAUUAAAAACACAGCACUGUGCAAACACGAAAGUGGACGUAUACGGUGUGACGCCUGCCCGGUGCCGGAAGGUUAAUUGAUGGGGUUAUCCGUAAGGAGAAGCUCUUGAUCGAAGCCCCGGUAAACGGCGGCCGUAACUAUAACGGUCCUAAGGUAGCGAAAUUCCUUGUCGGGUAAGUUCCGACCUGCACGAAUGGCGUAAUGAUGGCCAGGCUGUCUCCACCCGAGACUCAGUGAAAUUGAACUCGCUGUGAAGAUGCAGUGUACCCGCGGCAAGACGGAAAGACCCCGUGAACCUUUACUAUAGCUUGACACUGAACAUUGAGCCUUGAUGUGUAGGAUAGGUGGGAGGCUUUGAAGCGUGGACGCCAGUCUGCGUGGAGCCAACCUUGAAAUACCACCCUUUAAUGUUUGAUGUUCUAACGUUGGCCCCUUACCGGGGUUGCGGACAGUGUCUGGUGGGUAGUUUGACUGGGGCGGUCUCCUCCCAAAGCGUAACGGAGGAGCACGAAGGUUAGCUAAUCCUGGUCGGACAUCAGGAGGUUAGUGCAAUGGCAUAAGCUAGCUUGACUGCGAGCGUGACGGCGCGAGCAGGUGCGAAAGCAGGUCAUAGUGAUCCGGUGGUUCUGAAUGGAAGGGCCAUCGCUCAACGGAUAAAAGGUACUCCGGGGAUAACAGGCUGAUACCGCCCAAGAGUUCAUAUCGACGGCGGUGUUUGGCACCUCGAUGUCGGCUCAUCACAUCCUGGGGCUGAAGUAGGUCCCAAGGGUAUGGCUGUUCGCCAUUUAAAGUGGUACGCGAGCUGGGUUUAGAACGUCGUGAGACAGUUCGGUCCCUAUCUGCCGUGGGCGCUGGAGAAUUGAGGGGGCUGCUCCUAGUACGAGAGGACCGGAGUGGACGCAUCACUGGUGUUCGGGUUGUCAUGCCAAUGGCACUGCCCGGUAGCUAAAUGCGGAAGAGAUAAGUGCUGAAAGCAUCUAAGCACGAAACUUGCCCCGAGAUGAGUUCUCCCUGAGACUUUAAGUCUCCUGAAGGAACGUUGAAGACGACGACGUUGAUAGGCCGGGUGUGUAAGCGCAGCGAUGCGUUGAGCUAACCGGUACUAAUGAACCGUGAGGCUUAACCUU